CCCCAGGCCCAUUCUCAUUCCAUCACCACCUGUGUUUGUCCACUGAGCCCGUGGCCCAGCCCUCUGUCCCUGCCAGCAACACCACAGUCACAGACAAUAAGGACUCUGUGAUGGAAGAAGCACCACAGGUCUCCCUGUGGGGUCCAUCAUUGGCAUUGCAGUCGGGGUCCUGGUCGGACUGGCACUGUCGGCCGCCCUGGGGUGUCUCCUGCUCCACACAAGGACUGGAAGGUACGAUGGCAUUUCCCACAAGCUGAUCCAGUCCCCCAGCUGAGCCCUGGCCAGGAGGGGACCCCACCCUGACCUAGGAUUCUGGGCUGGCUCUUCCAGGCACCCAACUGCCCCCUCGAUUUUCCCUCUCAUUCCCUCUGGCUCCUUCCUCACCAGCUGCUGCCUGGGGUGCUUCCUUCACAUAUUCCUCAGUUAUAAAUUAGGGGCAACUAGGGAACAGCCCCUCAGGGUUGUCCUGGUUCAAUUGGCAAACCUGCAGU